UUACGGCCAUAGCACGCCGAAAAACCGCUUCUUAUACGAUCAUCGAAGUUAAGCAACCUUAAGCCUGGUCAGUAUCUAGAUGGGUGACCGCUUAGGAAUAGC